AUGCUGGGCAAUAUAGUCCAGUAGUGUGGCUAGCAGGAAAAUUAAAGGGGUUUGGUGAAUCCAUUGCUCCUGCCAUCACCAGACUAAAGACCUGCUGUCUCAUCCACAGUCAGGGACUCAGUGGGCAAGCACUGUGGGCUGCAGACACCAAGCUCCACCCUGAUUCCCCCUCCACUCCCAGAGGUUCCACCCAGCUGGCAGGCUCACAGCACUGCAGCCCAGCAUCCGAAGUGGUACUGUCCCUAGGCUGAUGACUGCCACAUCUUUCCCUGGGUCAAAACGUUCCUCUGAGAUUCAGAUGUGUGUCAACAACUGGAGAGCAGGCUUGGAAUUUAAAAAUCAAGUUUUCAUGGAAAAUUCUGUAUACCUCUUUCUGCUUGCUUUGACUUUGGCCAUGUGGAAGAGAGAUGAGGUAGCACUUCCAGGAGAUCCGUCAAUCAACAUGUGAUUCUUAACACUUGAAUUAAAAGGAGAAUGGUCAUUAAACAGAAACUGCUGCUAAAAGUGACAAGCAACUUAGCAAUACACAUGAGGAGCAAAGAUUAUAAUUUAUGCAGCAUAUUUUCAUAUACAGGCAAAUCUGAUACAGAAGGAAAAACAAAUGGCUUGGAAUAAAACAAAAUCCUUAAAAUGUG